rnacentral:rRNA from 1 species
UACAGAGGUCUCAAGCGUUGUUCGGAUUCAUUGGGCGUAAAGGGUGCGUAGGCGGCGCGGUAAGUCGGGUGUGAAAUCUUGGAGCUUAACUCCGAAACUGCAUUCGAUACUGCCGUGCUUGAGGACUGGAGAGGAGACUGGAAUUUACGGUGUAGCGGUGAAAUGCGUAGAUAUCGUAAGGAAGACCAGUGGCGAAAGGCGGGUCUCUGGACAGUUCCUGACGCUGAGGCACGAAGGCCAGGGGAGCAAAACGGG